rnacentral:ncRNA from 1 species
NNNNNNNNNGAUUGAUAGCUCUUUCUCGAUUCUGUGGGUGGUGGUGCAUGGCCGUUCUUAGUUGGUGGAGCGAUUUGUCUGGUUAAUUCCGAUAACGAACGAGACUCCGGCAUGCUAACUAGUUAUGCGGCCCCGAGCGGUCGGCGUCCAACUUCUUAGAGGGACAAGUGGCGUUCAGCCACACGAGAUUGAGCAAUAACAGGUCUGUGAUGCCCUUAGAU